CCCCCCUGAAUUCUGCGCACGACCGUCCUCAGAAAUCCUGACAUUUAAUAUGCGCGUGCCGGAGUCUUUUCAAAUCAGGGCGAUCCGAAGAGACUUUUCGAAAUUUUUGCUGGAGCAUUGCUCUAGGUACGGUGCAAUAAUGGCUAUGCCAGCUGUCAGCCGCUUUUAGCCGCCUGCUGUGGCGAGUGGGACACGUGGCGAACAUGGGUCGGCCUGGGGAGAUCUGCGAUCAUUAUAGCGCCGGAUCCCAGUGUCUAUUUAAACCCGCCCUUCUGCCUCCAGGAGUUUCAUUCUGCCUGAAAGUCCUGUUGGUUCCCGCCUUCUCUCCGAGAGCUCUGACCUUCCUUGGUGUCCGUUUUGGCCCUAGGUGUUCUUCGAGUCAUCCCUGUCCCUGCACCUCUGCAUCCUUCGGAGCGACUUAGGUUAGUUUCGAAACUUUCAUUCCUUCUCUUGCCAUGUAGGUGCUCCUUCUUCUCCAUUUUUCUUCUGCCGC
rnacentral:lncRNA from 1 species